GUUGCCAGCAUCGUUGGGCACUCGUAGAGGGACUGCCGGCGACAAGUCGGAGGAAGUGGGGAUGACGUCAAUCAUCAUGCCCCUUAUGACCUGGGCUACACACGUGCUACAAUGGGCGGUACAAAGGGCUGCGAACCCGCGAGGGGGAGCGAAUCCCAAAAAAGACCGCUCUCAGUUCGGAUUGCAGGCUGCAACUCGCCUGCAUGAAGCCGGAAUCGCUAGUAAUCGCGGAUCAGCAUGCCGCGGUGAAUACGUUCCCGGGCCUU
rnacentral:rRNA from 1 species